AUGUGAUCGUCUCUCGCAUAUCAAUAAGCGGAGGAAAAGAAACUAACAAGGAUUCCCCUAGUAACGGCGAGUGAAGCGGGAAGAGCUCAAAUUUGAAAUCUUAAAGGGUUUCCCUUUACGAAUUGUAGUUUAAAGAAGUGUUUUCUGUUGAGGUUUUGGUAAAAGUUCUUUGGAAUAGGACAUCAUAGAGGGUGAGAAUCCCGUAUUUGACCUUUACUUUCAACUUUGUGAUACACUUUCAAAGAGUCGGAUCGUUUGGGAAUGCAGUCCAAAAUGGGUGGUAAAUUUCAUCUAAAGCUAAAUAUUGGCGAGAGACCGAUAGCGAACAAGUACCGUGAGGGAAAGAUGAAAAGAACUUUGAAAAGAGAGUUAAACAGUACGUGAAAUUGUCAGAAGGGAAGCGUUUGACACCAGUGUUGUUUUUCUGAAAAUCAAUUAAAGAACUGUUUAUGCUAAGUUGUUUAGACUUUAUCAGCUAAUCUGCUUAGUUUUGAGCUUUUCUUUAAUGCACUUUUCAGUUAACAAGUCAACAUCAAUUUCUUUUGCUGUGAAAAAGCUUGAGGAAGGUGGCUUGAGAUUCGUCUUAAGUGUUUAUAGCCUCUUGCCUAUGCAGUCGGAGAGAUUGAGGUCUGCAGCGUAGAUCCUUCGGGGCUAAAUGCAUUUGUGCUAAGUUAUAACAUUUUAUAGACAACUUGUUGACUAUGAUUUGUCUUGUAGCUUACUCGCUUAUGUUAUUUUACCUACGCUUAGGAUGUUGAGUCGUAGAGCACGCAG
rnacentral:rRNA from 1 species